GCUCUUAGUUUGAGUUAGAAUUUCUUCAUGAUAAACUCGAUCCUUCUCUCCUGUCUUGGGAAUAUGAUAGUUUUCUUUUGGAAGGGAUUUUAUUAGGUCUAGGAUAUUGGAGUUUAGAACAUGUGCUUCCAAAGAGAAAAGAUUUUCUUCUAAUUUGAAUAUAUAGGGAUUAGGACAGUGUAGUUCUCUAAUAGAGGUAGUAGGAGUAUUGGAUAUUUUAUAGUCCCA
rnacentral:lncRNA from 1 species